ACAGGGGCCUUCAGGAGAGAAACAACCUGCAGCCCAGCCAGGAUGGAACUGAGGCGCUAAAGGCCCCAAACUUGCCCUUCUGCUACCGUCCUGUCUUCUGCCAGCCCCUCCCACUGGCCAGGCUUGACUUGGAGCAGAGGGCAAGGAAGCUGGUUGAUGCAAUCCAUGUAAGUAAGCCUCGAGUGGCACAGUGCAGGGAGGAGAAGAAUGGAAAAUGGAUUUAGAAGGAUAAAUGGAGGACAUCUGGCACAGGGGAUGGUCCCCAGGUACCACCGUGGACACUUUAGCUUCUUUAUUUGUUUACCAAUUUUCAUUUAUUAAAUCUAUAAAACACUGUCAAACUUUCUGGUCACUUGGUACCUGGUCAUUGUUGGGGAGGUUUCCAUGUUCAGAGCUUUGGCUCUGUAAGAUAGAAAACAGAAAGCCUGCUUCCCCAGCCCCUCGUUUGCAGCAAGCUUCAGGUGUGAGCCGGGGUACAUCAAUUAGACACAUCCAAAGCACAGCAGAUUCCUGCUUGAAGAAAAGCUUCAUAUUUUGCUACUCAGGAUGGCAAGAGAGGUGACUGGCUUUCGGGAUCAGUAGGAUUAUAGUUGAGCUCCCAUAACCGGAGAAGUAUAAACACACUGCCCAAUUCCAGCAGAUGUCAUUGACAUCAAGGUGUGUUCUACACAGAAAUAGCACUGGUGCUGGUGGCAGUCGUCAUUUCAGUAAAGCCAAGUUUCUGUAAGCAUCUAGUUCACUAUAACGUCCAGUGCUCAGUGCUUGAAACAGUAGCCUUUCUCAGCAGGCUGCUUCUAAGAUUUGGAGCCCUGUUUAGCCUUCCCAACAAUUUUGUGAGCUACACAAAACCCUAGUAAUGAAUUUUUUCUGCUCAAUCAACCAGAGUCAGUUUCUGAUGCUUGUAGCUGUGGACCCUGAAAUGUAUAAUACUUCUCUUUUCAUUUCUAUUCUUAUUUUUUUAUUCUCUUAUAUUUAUCUAAAGUGAAUGUGUUAGUCACUCAGUAGCCCACCAGGCUCCUCUGUCCAUGGAAUUCUUCAGGCAAGGAUACUGGNNNNNNNNNNNNNNNNNNNNNNNNNNNNNNNNNNNNNNNNNNNNNNNNNNNCUCCUGCAUUGCAGGCAGAUUCUUUACCAUCUGAGCAACCAGGGAAGCCCCAUAUUUAUCUAAACUAAACACUUAAUAGGGCCACAUGACAGACAGAAUAAGGAGUAGCCUCCUAACUCUGCUUUCUAUCAGAAGCAAGAGAGGCUGGUAUGCACAUAUUUACAUUUGAAAAACUCACAGUAGAUUGAAACUGAGACCUUAUGAAAACUGGAUGUGAUUUGUUCUGUGAAAUGCCUCCACUUUUUAAAUAGUUAAGCAUCGCAAUAGAAAUCAUUUAUCAAGUAUCCUAGUUCCAUCACUUCUGAUAUAUGCUACUGACAGCUUUGUUCAAGAAAUACAAAUCUAAGAGAACCCAAUUAUUAAGCUUUAGCUUUG
rnacentral:lncRNA from 1 species